GCAUAUCAAUAAGCGGAGGAAAAGAAACCAACAGGGAUUGCCCUAGUAACGGCGAGUGAAGCGGCAACAGCUCAAAUUUGAAAUCUGGCGUCUUUGGCGUCCGAGUUGUAAUUUGCAGAGGGCGCUUUGGCAUUGGCAGCGGUCCAAGUUCCUUGGAACAGGACGUCACAGAGGGUGAGAAUCCCGUACGUGGUCGCUAGCCUUUACCGUGUAAAGCCCCUUCGACGAGUCGAGUUGUUUGGGAAUGCAGCUCUAAAUGGGAGGUAAAUUUCUUCUAAAGCUAAAUACUGGCCAGAGACCGAUAGCGCACAAGUAGAGUGAUCGAAAGAUGAAAAGCACUUUGGAAAGAGAGUUAAAAAGCACGUGAAAUUGUUGAAAGGGAAGCGCUUGCAGCCAGACUUGCCUGUAGUUGCUCAUCCGGGUUUUUACCCGGUGCACUCUUCUAUAGGCAGGCCAGCAUCAGUUUGGGCGGUUGGAUAAAGGUCUCUGUCACGUACCUCCUCUCGGGGAGAACUUAUAGGGGAGACGUAAUGCAACCAGCCUGGACUGAGGUCCGCGCAUCUGCUAGGAUGCUGGCGUAAUGGCUGUAAGCGGCCCGUCUUGAAACACGGACCAAGGAGUCUAACAUCUAUGCGAGUGUUUGGGUGUCAAGCCCGAGCGCGUAAUGAAAGUGAACGGAGGUGGGAACCUUUCGGGGUGCACCAUCGACCGAUCCUGAUGUCUUCGGAUGGAUUUGAGUAAGAGCAUAGCUGUUGGGACCCGAAAGAUGGUGAACUAUGCUUGAAUAGGGUGAAGCCAGAGGAAACUCUGGUGGAGGCUCGCAGCGGUUCUGACGUGCAAAUCGAUCGUCAAAUUUGGGCAUAGGGGCGAAAGACUAAUCGAACUAUCUAGUAGCUGGUUUCCUGCCGA
rnacentral:rRNA from 1 species